rnacentral:rRNA from 1 species
AACGUAGGAGACAAACGUUAUCCGGAGUUACUGGGCGUAAAGGGCGUGCAGGUGGUCAUUUUAGUUCGGCGUGAAAGCUCCUGGCUAAACCGGGAGAGGUCGUCGGAGACUGGAUGGCUAGAGGGUGAUAGAGGCGGGUGGAAUUCCGGGUGUAGUGGUGAAAUGCGUAGAGAUCCGGAGGAACACCAGUGGCGAAGGCGACCCGCUGGGUCACACCUGACACUGAGACGCGACAGCAUGGGGAGCGAACGGG